GAUCCUGUACAAACAGCACAUAGUGUGAGAACCAUAAGAACAGAUCUGAACCAUCCAAUUUUUAGAUCAACGGUUGAUGUUGAUUACAAUUAAAACCCUUUCAAUUACUAAACAUUAUUAUAAGACCAAGGGUACUAGGUUUUGGUUGAAUCAAUGAUGGAUGAAACAAAAGAGAACCCUUUCAUCAACAGAAAAGAAGAUCACAAAGAUGUUUCGAAUAAAGAGGAUAUUGUUAAUGAUGUUGUAUCGUACAAAACAAAAAAGAGGACUUAAGAAAGGAAGCUUAUGACAGCUAAAAGAGGUGUGCUAACAUUGUAUUUAUAUGGAUUUUUAAAGUGUUAAACACU